rnacentral:rRNA from 1 species
AUGCAAGUCGAACGAACCUUCGGGUUAGUGGCGGACGGGUGAGUAACGCGUGAGAAUCUGCCCUCAGGAGGGGGAUAACGGUUGGAAACGACCGCUAAUACCCCAUAUGCCGCGAGGUGAAAUGAAUUUCGCCUGAGGAUGAGCUCGCGUCUGAUUAGUUAGUUGGUGGGGUAAAGGCCUACCAAGACAUCGAUCAGUAGCUGGUCUGAGAGGAUGAUCAGCCACACUGGGACUGAGACACGGCCCAGACUCCUACGGGAGGCAGCAGUGGGGAAUUUUCCGCAAUGGGCGAAAGCCUGACGGAGCAACGCCGCGUGAGGGAUGAAGGCCUCUGGGCUGUAAACCUCUUUUAUCAAGGAAGAAGAUCUGACGGUACUUGAUGAAUAAGCCACGGCUAAUUCCGUGCCAGCAGCCGCGGUAAUACGGGAGUGGCAAGCGUUAUCCGGAAUUAUUGGGCGUAAAGCGUCCGCAGGCGGUCUGUCAAGUCUGCUGUUAAAGCGUGGAGCUUAACUCCAUUUCGGCAGUGGGAACUGACAGACUAGAGUGUGGUAGGGGCAGAGGGAAUUCCCGGUGUAGCGGUGAAAUGCGUAGAUAUCGGGAAGAACACCAGUGGCGAAGGCGCUCUGCUGGGCCAUAACUGACGCUCAUGGACGAAAGCCAGGGGAGCGAAAGGGAUUAGAUACCCCUGUAGUCCUGGCCGUAAACGAUGAACACUAAUGUCGGGGGAAUCGACCCCCUCGGUGUCGUAGCCAACGCGUUAAGUGUUCCGCCUGGGGAGUACGCACGCAAGUGUGAAACUCAAAGGAAUUGACGGGGGCCCGCACAAGCGUUGGAGUAUGUGGUUUAAUUCGAUGCAACGCGAAGACCUUACCAGGUUUGACAUUCCUGCGAAUUCUCUUGG